UACGUAGGGGGCAAGCGUUGUCCGGAUUUAUUGGGCGUAAAGAGCGUGUAGGCGGCUUUACAGGUCCGUUGUGAAAACUCGAGGCUCAACCUCGAGACGUCGGCGGAAACCAUCUGGCUAGAGUCCGGAAGAGGAGAGUGGAAUUCCUGGUGUAGCGGUGAAAUGCGCAGAUAUCAGGAAGAACACCCGUGGCGAAGGCGGCUCUCUGGGACGGUACUGACGCUAAGGCGCGAAAGCGUGGGGAGCGAACAGG
rnacentral:rRNA from 1 species